rnacentral:ncRNA from 1 species
GGCCCCAAUUGGUAGAAAAAGUUCACAUCAACGGGAAGGUUUGGCACCUCGAUGUCGGCUCUUCGCCACUUGGGGCUAUAGUAUGUUCCAAGAGGUUGGGCUGUUCACCCAAAGCGGUACGUGAGCUGGGUUCAGAAUGUCGUGAAGUGAUAUAAAAAUAAUGUUUUAAUGUAUUCUUAACCAAAGAAAAUUC